AAAUGCGAUAAGUAAUGUGAAUUGCAGAAUUCAGUGAAUCAUCGAAUCUUUGAACGCACCUUGCGCUCCUUGGUAUUCCGAGGAGCAUGCCUGUUUGAGUGUCAUGGAAUUCUCAACUCUAUUUGCUUUUGUGAAUAGAGCUUGGAUUUGGAGGUUUAUUGCUGGUACUUGUGAUCGGCUCCUCUUGAAUGCAUUAGCUCGAACCUUUGCGGAUCAGCUAUCGGUGUGAUAAUUGUCUACGUCGUUGCAGUGAAGCAUAUCAAUGGGCUCGGCUUCCAAUCGUCCUUUACUGGACAAUGACUUUGACCUUUGACCUCAAAUCAGGUAGGAUUACCCGCUGAACUUAAGC
rnacentral:misc_RNA from 1 species